rnacentral:rRNA from 1 species
GAAGGCCCUCGGGUUGUAAAGCACUUUCAGCGAGGAAGAACGCCUAUCGGUUAAUACCCGGUAGGAAAGACAUCACUCGCAGAAGAAGCACCGGCUAACUCCGUGCCAGCAGCCGCGGUAAUACGGAGGGUGCAAGCGUUAAUCGGAAUUACUGGGCGUAAAGCGCGCGUAGGUGGCUUGAUAAGCCGGUUGUGAAAGCCCCGGGCUCAACCUGGGAACGGCAUCCGGAACUGUCAGGCUAGAGUGCAGGAGAGGAAGGUAGAAUUCCCGGUGUAGCGGUGAAAUGCGUAGAGAUCGGGAGGAAUACCAGUGGCGAAGGCGGCCUUCUGGACUGACACUGACACUGAGGUGCGAAAGCGUGGGUAGCAAACAGGAUUAGAUACCCUGGUAGUCCACGCCGUAAACGAUGUCGACCAGCCGUUGGGUGCCUAGCGCACUUUGUGGCGAAGUUAACGCGAUAAGUCGACCGCCUGGGGAGUACGGCCGCAAGGUUAAAACUCAAA